GCUGCCCGCCCGCCCUUCUACAGACAGUCACUGAGGAGGCGGCCAGAGCCUGGGCUGCGACCCUUACUGCAGCUGCUGAGUAAAAUUGUGAGGAAAAAUAUCCAAAAAUAUAUAUAUUUACCAGUACUAGUCAGAUGGUGGAGUACAGCAAGAAAGCCCACAUUAUCUGAGACCAUCACUGACAACGAUCAGUGCUGGCAGGUGGCAGAAGAGGCUGAACUGUUCUUACCUUGGAUAAACCUAGUCAGUGCUGCGGGAGGUGUUUCAGCCUUCAAGCUGUCAUGCCUCAGGUGGCUGAAGCUGCUCUAUUGGAAAGUAGAGGACAAGCGGAGGCUGCCAGAGCUGGAGGACAUGAUGAAACUUGGAGCAGCACACUAAGGCUAGAAAACGUGGUCUGAAUGGACAACCGUUUUCCCUAGAAGUUAUCAUUUGAAUUUAUUUACUUAGGCAAGCACACAGCUACUCCUGUCUCUUUCUAGCCAUUGAACUAAUGGAUGAAUUGAUAAGUUCGUUGCAAUGAGCAAGCAGGAAGUGUAUACUGCCUUAGAGGCAGGUGUGGACCUGAACUUUUCAGAAAAGGCAAAUCUUCAUAUGCACAGGAAAGGAGCAAAAUGCCUUCAAAACAGGAAAUCUCGAGGCACCACUUGUAUUCCACUGCGCUAUUUCUAAUCCCACCAUGCAAUGUGUUAAGUCCUCAGAAAGCCAAAUAUUACCCUACCCUGAUUUGCAUCUAGUUUCUCUUCAGGCUCUUGGACAGAAAAAUGCAGAAAAUCUAGAGAUGAUAGAAUAUGCAUCUCCUAGCCUCAGCACUCUGAGCUUCCUCUGGAAAUAAACUAGGGAGAACUGUCUUGGUGAACA
rnacentral:lncRNA from 1 species